CGGUUCUCCUAUUCUCAGGAAAUCGAAAAUGAGAGGUAGAAGCUACAGUUACAGUCCAUCACCACCAAGAAGUUAUGGCAGGAGAUAUCGUAGCCCUAGUCCAAGGGGUCGUGGAGGUCGUAGAAGGGACCUGCCAACAAGUCUUUUGGUUAGGAACUUGAGGCACGACUGCAGGCCAGAGGACCUACGAGGAUUAUUUGGGCGGUUUGGUCCCCUUAAGGACAUUUACUUGCCACGAGAUUAUUAUUCUGGUAAUAGUGUUGAAGACAACCAAUGAAGUAAUAAGAGUAUCUUGUGGAAGACAAAAAGCAAGUAAUUUGUUUUUUGUGUUGAAGACAUUCAAGUAAGUUCUGAUGACUUAAAUGUGUACAUGAAGAUUCGGUGGAAGUUGGGUUAGAGUACAUUGAGAAGAAGUUCAAGUCUUGAAGAAUUACAUCUCAAUUUUUUCUUAGCCACUCAGAAGAGAACCGCGUGGUUUUGGAUUUGUUCAGUUCGUUGAUGCUGCUGAUGCUGCUGAUGCCAAGUAUGAAUUGGAUGGCCAAGUUCUCCUGGGUCAUGAACUAACUGUUGUGUUUGCUGAGGAAAACAGGAAGAGACCUGAAGAGAUGAGAGCACGGGACUCAUCAAGGGGUCGGUCCUACAGUUACAGCCACCGGCAUUCACCAUUGCGAUAUUCACAAUCACCACACUAUGAUCGAAAAUAUUCACGUUGUCCAGAGUAUUAUUCCCCUGCACGGUCCAGACGAUAUUCAAGGUCGCCUAGGGGUCCGAGGUACAGGGAGCAAUCGUACUCAAGGUCACCAUCUGAUCCAAGGGGCCGCAGUUACAGCCGAAGCAGGAGCCGUAGCUAUAGCCGAAGUUAUUCUAGGUGAGUAAAAAUAGUUUUAUUCAAGUUUUAAGAAAAGCCAGCGAGCCAGCUGAUCUUUCUGAAGACAGACCCAGAAACUAUGAUUUAAAUUAUGCUUGGAAUUUGGAUUUCAGAGGCUUUGUAUAUGUGUUGUGUUUUAGAAAAUGCUUUUGUUUAAGAGAUAAAACUGAUUUUUAUGCUCUUAUUGAACAAAUUAAUGAGCUUUUAUGGCUGUUUUCUCCAUGUAAAAUGAAACUUUGGAUUUUUAGACUUUUCUUUUC